rnacentral:rRNA from 1 species
GACAGAGGGUGCAAACGUUGUUCGGAAUUACUGGGCGUAAAGCGCGCGUAGGCGGCUUUGCAAGUCGGGUGUGAAAUCCCCAGGCUUAACCUGGGAACUGCAUUCGAGACUGCAUUGCUAGAGUAUGGGAGAGGGAAGUGGAAUUUCCGGUGUAGCGGUGAAAUGCGCAGAUAUCAGGAGGAACACCGGUGGCGAAGGCGGAUCUCUGGGCCAUUACUGACGCUGAGGAGCGACAGCGUGGGGAGCGAACAGG